UAUAUCUCAGGAACGGAAAGGGGUUUGAAUUUGGCUCGAGUUUGGUUAUUAUAUCUCAGGAACGGAAAGGGGUUUGGAGAAGGGGGCUUAUAGCUGCCAGGAACGGGAAAAGGAUUUGGAGAUACUAAGAAGGCUGGACUGGAUAAAGAAGCGUCAAGUAAAACGGGAUUUGAAGCCCCCUCCACACACACUACAUUCCCCAGAAUCGUUCAUGCGCAUUUGGGUAAUCUUCCGGGUGGGCACAUCCAACACAAACGUAUUAGAGACGAUAGGAACGAUAGUCUAAAUGCGGUAGUUAACCCCCAUUAAAUAGCUACAAUACAAUACAAUAAUCUUUAUCUAUGGAAGGUUACAUUAUUGCCUUAAAAGUUUUCUAACUGAUGCUCCUCUUUUCCUAUGCUAACCUAAAAAAUGUAAAAAUAUAAAGAUAUCACUCGGCAGGACAUUCAGUAGGACAUUCAUCAGGACCAUGGCGCCAUGAGGCACGCAGGUACACAUGAGCUACAUGACAAUACACCGAUGCCAAAAACACACAUGAUGAAAUACUCACAUAGAUAUUAACACUGGCAUAAUUUGAUGGAAAAAUAAGAAAAAAAGAGAAAAAAUGUUAAGUGGAGUACCAACAGAAGUUAAGAUUAAAGCGAAAGUUGUAACUAAAUAGUUGUAACUAAAUGUGCUAGAGGCUCACCUGUUAAACGUGGUGACGCUACGCCUCACGCAUGGUGUCAAGCGUUCGAUCGAGAAAUGUCCGAGACUUUCAGACACUAAGUCUUUUUUGUGACACGUAAGGUGCACUUCCCUUGCAUUGCUUUUAGGACAUGUCCCGAGAUGUCGUUAUAGCAGCGCACGCAAUCGGCAAAAGCUCUUCCUUACAGCAAAUUUAUCGCAUAUUUACAAAAGUGAACCUUCUUGAUUGCAGUAUUAGCAUUGUGAAGGUAGUAAGAGAGGAUUUAUCGGUCUGUAUAUGCAAUUGGGUGGUGCUGAUAUAUCCGAUGUGAGACUUGCAGACAUGAAAAUGUGACAAAGUGUCAUAGUUGAGAGACAUAGUUGGGACAGAGAUGUGUAAACACAUAGAUCACUGUUCCAUAGAUAUUGUCAAUACAAAACAAAUUUAUUAGUGAAAAGGAGUAUGUUAUAAUAAAAGCGCUUUACGUUAAAAAAAUCCUUAUAAUAAUUAAGAAUACCCAUUUUAUUAGGGCUAAGGAACACAAGCUUCUAGUGGUUUCACGCACAUCCAACAAGUCAUAUCCAGGGCCGACAAACAGGGAGAUAUUUGCAAUGUCUCGAGCAGGAAUCAAACCCGUUUCAGCAAAGGCGAGAAAUCUAGCUUUUCAUCCGGCUCUCUACACAUAGUCUUUGUUAAUUUAUCAAUUUAAAAAGUAAUUUCCGAAUAAACCCAAUGGAGAACCGGCUAGCAGGUUAUGAUGAGCGCCAUUCGCUAACGCGCUAACACAUUCAGCCAGGCCACCUUGAAAUUCCACAAGGGCGGGGUAGGGGGUUAACACAAGUUCCCUGCGUAAAGCUCUGCGUGCUAUUCUACGAACUUCUUCAUUCCUCGUGCCUGUCACCCUGGGAGAGAUGGCUGCACUGAAAUUUCUUGCUAGAUUUAUAAGACUCUGAGACAGGGUAUAUACAGUAUAUACAGUAUAUACAGAAGGUUUCUCGAAAUUACCACCUGAAAAUAAAAUCUUUUCCUUUAUUCACCAAAUUCAGUCGAAAAUACCACAAAAGCUUCCCCAAAUCAGUCGAUGGAAAUGGAUGCUUUGUCACCCUUGGUACUUCGCUAGAAUAACGCGAUGGCGGCUGACAAUAUGCUUAUUGUAAUUAAUUUUGUGUCAAGCGUUUUAAUAAUGUUGACACACUUUAUCCGGUGUUUUAUGAGAUGACAUACCUUUGUCAUAUUCCCAUAUCACAGUAUAAAUUUUAAUUAAAAUUAUAUCUCUUUGCCGUGGGUGAUAUACAAUCUUUAGAACUUUUUUACAUUUCAAACUGUUUUGACCUGAAGAAGGAGGUCACGGUUAAUCCCUAGUAUUUGUUAGCAGAAGAAUAGAAGUGGAUAACCCUCCACUCAUUAUUGCCUAAUAUCGGAAAUGUAAGGCGCUAGUUCAUCCUUAUGCUUAUCAUUUAAGAUAAAUAUCUAAUAAAUACAUCGACACAAAAAAAGUCUGACAAUGUUACGAAUGAGAUAAGCGUCUUUUCCGUGAUGGAACGAUUGCUUUUUCUCAUCCCGCUUAUUGCUUGCAUCAAUUGUCAAUGAAUGAAUUAACUUCCGUCGCUCGCUUCGCUGCUCAUCUUUUUGUUCCUUCGAGAAUAAAAGAGUUGGAGUCCUGGUGUGCGCGGGACAUAAGCUUACUUGGGGGGCGGCUUCGACUGCUCUUUUAGACGCCGAAAACAUUUUAAGACAUAUCAAAAGGAAGUUGUUGUUUGAAUAAUACGUCUGCGAGUAAAAACUCAACGUAUUUCUAUAACGUUUGUUAUUGAUGUUAUUUUCUUGAUACGUUUUUUUACGUGUGACCACACUCAAAGUGGCACAAAAACUAGAAUGCACUUCUUCAGAUUGUUUCGUCAAGUGGGCUCGUCGUUAAUAUUCUCGUAAAGGCUGGUUUAGUCAUAUGCGCCUGCCUACGACAUGUCUUAGUCUAAGAUCAAACUUCGUAUUAUCCAUGAGCCGUAUUCGAUGCAAAUGAAUCAAGUCGAUUGUAUUAUCGUCAUUUCCCCUUAUUUGCAUUGAAUACGGCUCAUGGAUAAUACAACGUUUGAAAUUAGCCUUAGCCCUGAAUCACACACUACGAUUGUCGUAGUAGAGCAUCGUUGCGGAAUCCUAGGCUUGUUUACCCUCUACGACUCAAGCUGUAGAUGUGCUGCGGGUGAUUAUCUGAUUAUGGGACCCCUGAGUACCAUACUGAUGGCGGCUGAGCGAGGAUAACAACCGAUUUUGGGGGGGGUGAACGGAACGGAGGUCUUUUCUACGUACGCCGAUAUGUCAUUUUUUUCUAAUAUUUUGUCUUAAACGCGUAAAACUUUUCAGUGACAA